UGGCGAACGGGUGCGUAACACGUGGGGAAUCUGCCGAGAAGUGGGGGAUAGCUCGCCGAAAGGCGAAUUAAUACCGCAUGUGAUCAGGGAAGACAUCUUUCCGACAUCAAAGCCGGGGCAACCUGGCGCUUCUUGAUGACCCCGCGGCCUAUCAGCUAGUUGGUGAGGUAACGGCCCACCAAGGCGAUGACGGGUAGCUGGUCUGAGAGGACGACCAGUCACACUGGAACUGAGACACGGUCCAGACACCUACGGGUGGCAGCAGUCGAGAAUUUUUCUCAAUGGGGGGAACCCUGAAGGAGCGACGCCGCGUGGAGGAUGAAGGCUUUCGGGUUGUAAACUCCUGUCA
rnacentral:rRNA from 1 species